rnacentral:rRNA from 1 species
UGGGGAAUUUUGCGCAAUGGGCGAGAGCCUGACGCAGCAACGCCGCGUGGGUGAUGAAGGUCUUCGGAUCGUAAAACCCUGUCGUCAGGGACGAAGGUUGCGAGUUUAAGAGAUGCGCAACUUGACGGUACCUGGAGAGGAAGCCCCGGCUAACUCUGUGCCAGCAGCCGCGGUAAUACAGAGGGGGCAAGCGUUAUUCGGAAUUAUUGGGCGUAAAGGGCGCGUAGGCGGUUUCUUAAGUGAGAUGUGUAAUCCCCGGGCUUAACCUGGGAACUGCAUCUCAUACUGGGGGGCUAGAGUACUGGAGAGGGUGGUAGAAUUCCACGUGUAGCGGUGAAAUGCGUAGAGAUGUGGAGGAAUACCAGUGGCGAAGGCGGCCACCUGGACAGUAACUGACGCUGAGGCGCGAAAGUGUGGGGAGCAAACAGG